UACAGAGGGGGCAAGCGUUGUUCGGAAUUACUGGGCGUAAAGGGCGCGUAGGCGGCCUGCUAAGUCGAACGUGAAAUCCCUGGGCUCAACCCAGGAACUGCGUCCGAUACUGGUUGGCUUGAAUCCGGGAGAGGGAUGUGGAAUUCCUGGUGUAGCGGUGAAAUGCGCAGAUAUCAGGAGGAACACCGGUGGCGAAGGCGGUUCUCUGGGCAUGUCCUGACGCUGAGGAGCGAAAGUGUGGGGAGCGAACAGG
rnacentral:rRNA from 1 species